AGAGUUUGAUCCUGGCUCAGAACGAACGCUGGCGGCAGGCUUAACACAUGCAAGUCGAACGCACCGCAAGGUGAGUGGCAGACGGGUGAGUAACGCGUGGGAACGUACCUUUCGGUUCGGAAUAACCCAGGGAAACUUGGGCUAAUACCGAAUUCGCCGGAAACGGGAAAGAUUUAUCGCCGAAAGAUCGGCCCGCGUCGGAUUAGCUAGUUGGUGGGGUAAUGGCCUACCAAGGCGACGAUCCGUAGCUGGUCUGAGAGGAUGAUCAGCCACACUGGGACUGAGACACGGCCCAGACUCCUACGGGAGGCAGCAGUGGGGAAUAUUGGACAAUGGGCGCAAGCCUGAUCCAGCCAUGCCGCGUGAGUGAAGAAGGCCUUAGGGUUGUAAAGCUCUUUCAGCGGGGACGAUAAUGACGGUACCCGCAGAAGAAGCCCCGGCUAACUUCGUGCCAGCAGCCGCGGUAAUACGAAGGGGGCUAGCGUUGUUCGGAAUUACUGGGCGUAAAGCGCGCGUAGGCGGACAUUUAAGUCAGGGGUGAAAUCCCAGGGCUCAACCCUGGAACUGCCUUUGAUACUGGAUGUCUGGAGUUCGGGAGAGGUGAGUGGAAUUCCGAGUGUAGAGGUGAAAUUCGUAGAUAUUCGGAGGAACACCAGAAGCGAAGGCGGCUCACUGGCCCGAUACUGACGCUGAGGCGCGAAAGCGUGGGGAGCAAACAGGAUUAGAUACCCCGGUAGUCC
rnacentral:rRNA from 2 species